GACUGGAGUUUAGACGUGUGCGCUUCCGAUCCCACCCCAGCCUCCCACACCCCCUUGCCAGCCAGGGUGCUGCCGACAUCUUUCCUGCUCGAAAGUCUGAUUCCCUACUCCGUGCCUUUGCUUGUGCUGGUCCUUCCGCCUCCCUCCUGGGCCUCCUGGCUGAUGCAGACCCUACCCAUCCCCCAUAAUAUGUGCAGCUACAACUCGCUUCCUCCAGGAAGCCUUCCCUGCCCCCCACCCUGGCCACCCCCCUCCCUCCCCUUCUCCCUCGCUCUCCUGCUCUGGUUUUCCCGCUCUCCUCUGCAGCAUUGCCUGUUGUACAGAUCCAUGGUGUUAGAUCAUCUUGUAAAUGGUUCAUGGGCCUGGAACCCCGCAGGAGCCCAGUGACCAUUAACCAUCGCCAAUAGCAGCCUCCCUGCCGGCUUUCCGCCCACCUCAGCGCAUCCCCACCUUCCACCUUGUCUGAUCCUUGCCACCGCUCUCUGGGGCUCAUUUGACAAAUGGGGAUGCGGAGGCUGGAGAGGCCAGGGCUGCCUACAGCAAGUCAGUUGGGGGCAGACAGGAUUACAAGGGUCUCUCUCACCUGUCCCAUGGUGCCUAGCCCAGGGCUGGGGUCCAAAAGGGGCAUGUUCCCUUUCUGUUCAGUUAGAAUCCCCAAGUCUGCCCUCUUUUGUCCUUCUGGGCCUUGCAGCCUUCCUCUCCUACCCACUGGCCCUUCUGCCAUCUGAAGCUCCCCUGAUACUGUCACUACUUUCUGUAGAAACUGCCCCCUCCCAGCUCCAGGCAUUCGACAGGGGCUGAGUGGAGGCCCCACAGGUGCAUCGGGAACACGCAGAGGUGCAGGGAAGGCCCUGGCUUGAGGGACUGGGAGGCGCUGCCUCUCCCCAGCUGGUGACCGUGAGCCACACUCACCCCCGAGGAUUGAGCUGUACCCACCGAACCUGCGAGGAGCAUGUGGUGUUACACAAGAGGAAACUGAGGCUCUGGGAGGCCAGGGACCUGUAUGAGUUGGCAGGGGGCUAAGCCCUUGCUUUGCUGGGCCAUUUGCUGAUGUCACAACACAGUGGGGCUGGGGGGUGGAUAGUGUCCUGAGACCCCUUUGUGAAGCUUUAAAAACUGCCUGAAGGAGAGGCUUUGUUCUUCAACCAGGAAAGGCUCACCCUCCAGUGGUUCCCCUUCAGGUGCCCAGGGCCCACCAUCAGUGGACUGUACCUGGAGGCAACCUAGCUCUCUUUAGGGCCCUGUCUGGCCCAAAGACCAAGGCCCCCAUUCUUAGCACCUAGAAGGUGCUGGGCCAACACUUAGUCAGAGAAGGGUUGCACCUCUGCUCAGAGGGUGGGCAAGCUAGAGGGAAGGGACAUGAGGGACAGGAGCAUGCAGAGUUUAGGAAACUGUGACAGAAGUUCCAUUAGGUCUCCAGCUCUCACCCUUGGCCUCCUACACGGCAGCCAGAAGGUUCUCGUUGAAAUGGAACCCAGACCACACCAGCCCUGCUCCAAGCUCUUGUGGGCCCCCUCGCCUGGGUUCCUCCAGCCUUCCCCUGAUCUGACCCUCUUGCUGACUCCACUCCAGCCACUCUGGUCUCCUGGCUGUUCUGAGACUCCCCAGCACAGUCCCUCUCAGGGCCUUUGCACAUGCUGUGCCCACUGUCUGGAACAUUCUCCACCCACAUGUUCCUCCUCUCUCCAUUCAGAUCUUUGUGGAAUGGCACAUCCUUGCAGGGGCCUUCCCUGACCACUGUUCCUAAUGUAACCCCUCCUGUCACUCUCUUCCUUUACCCUGCUUUGUCAUCAUCAAGCUUGUGGCCACCUGCCAUUAGCUUGUGUGUUCACUUGUUUAUUGUCCACUCCCAGAGGAGAACAUUCGUUCUCUGAGGGCAGGGUGGUCUGGUCCACCACUGAGCCCCAGAGCUGGGACAGUGCUGGGUACAUGGCUCAACCCAUAUUUGUGAAGAGAGGAAGGGAGGAAUGGAGGAAGGGAGGAAGGGAGGAAGGA